UGCUUGCUACUAGGUUGGUGCAAAAGUAAUUGUGGUUUUUGCAAUUUUUUAAAAAAGGCAAAACCAGCAAUUACUUUUGCAC
rnacentral:miRNA from 1 species